UGGAUAUAUAAGCCAGCUCCUGAGGGUGUUUAAGUAAAUUAACUUUUCGUGUCCACUUGAAAAAGUCAAUUAUACCCUCUCUACUCUUACUCUCAAUCCCUUCGGAUCUCUCAAACCCUUCUCGCCUACUUUCUCCCUCCGCCGCUUCUUCACUCUCGCCUACUUUCUCUCUCCUCCCUUUACUCAAUCUCUCAUCUUCGAUCUCUCCUCCCUUCACUCAAUCUCCUUCACUCAAUCUCUCCUCCCUUCCGUCAAUCUCUCAUCUUCGAUCUUUCCUCAAAUCCGACGAAUGGAACUUCAUCAUCUCAACGGGUUUCUCUUUAAAAUCUCAGAAGCCUCAAAUUUGGGUUUUUAUAAAAAUCGAAGCUUUCUACAAUCUUCAAGAUACCCAGAUUACAAAGUUGGUGAUUAUGCAAUUUUUGAUUCUGGAAUUCAUCUUUUCUGUACCUGAAACUCGGGGAACUCCUGAUUAUGCUAAAGAUGAAGACCCUGCUAAUGGAAGAAGAUAC